rnacentral:rRNA from 1 species
GGCGAGAGACCGAUAGCGAACAAGUACCGUGAGGGAAAGAUGAAAAGAACUUUGAAAAGAGAGUAAAAUAGUACGUGAAAUUGUUGAAAGGGAAACGAUUAAAGUCAGUCGUACCGAUGAGAAUUCAGCUCUUCAAGUGCAAACUUGUGGGCGUGCGUGAGCCUUAAAACCUCGCUGUUUGCAAUGUUUGUGCUUUUUGGGUGUACUUUUUCGUAUGGUAGGCCAACGUCAGUUUCGUUUACCAUAAAA